GUUUUUCAAGCCCCUGUAGUUGUUAUAGAAAGUAGUUUAGUGCCAGAAAAGGAAAAUUGGUUUAUCUGAUUUAGCUCUCUAUGAGAAGGAAUUCUCCUGAUUGUGAAUAGUUUAAUAUUCGGAUGACCGAGUUUGUGGAAUUCUAUUGAAUUAGAAUCCCAUGGCUGGCCAUCCGAAGAAUAUGUGUUCUUGGACUGUAUGUUCCUUGACUUAUACAUGCUGGUAGGCAUCCAGUGUAGUUACUAACACCCAUCGAGAAUAAAAUUUGUCAGGGGUCAUUUUAGGUAUCAUUCUCUUAACCAAGCUUGAGCUCUGUAAGCUUCAUAACCCUCUUCGCAACUUUAUAUUGUGAGUCAUGACAGUCGAUGCCUAGAUCAUAUGGAACUGAGCAUAUUCAUCUUUAGCUAGUUUGUUUUGUUUUGUUUUUUUGGCUACAGAACGACUUUAUUGGUUCAUUUCUUGAUCAAUCAUCUUCUCCAAUGCUUGACAUAUUGUAGUGAAGAAACGGGUAAGCAUGUCGCGGUUAACAAGUGCCGAUGUGUUUGUUGCAGUUCAUGCAACUAAAUUUUUCAUUGUUAAUGAGAGGCCUCAAGAUAUGAUUGGGAUGCUUGAUGUGGGUAAGCGUGGAAGGUACCAUCAGACAAACUCGGUGAUAUUUGAUAUUUGGUAUUGUUUGAUUUGAUGCUAACAAAAUUUCAAAUUCACCCGCUUUGUAUGAUGUUUCCUUUCAGACUUCUUGUUAACUGAGAAAAUUUUACUAUGGAAGCUAUUUUAUAACUGAUCGUCUCUGCAACAUGAAUGUGAGGAAAAGUCUUUGCUGAAUGCUAUUGUGUGGCUUGAAAGCAAUCUGUAGGGAAAGCACAAAAUUCAUGGCAUUUUCAGAAAUAAAUUGAAUGAUGCUUGGAGAUUUAAUUCAUGUGCCAACAUAAGAGCUUCAACCUAUCAUAUAUGAUCUCCAUAGCCCUUUUCUCAAUGGGGAUUGGAUCUCAUUGGAAAGAUUCAUCUGACAUUAGCAAAUGAACAUAAAUUCAUCAUAACUGCCUCAAAAUACUUCACCAAAUGGAUUGAGGCUAUACCUAUGACCUAUAUUACUGGCACUCAGAUUUCCAAGUUCAUCUUGAACUAUAUCAUAUGUUGGUACAGGGACCCCUUUUGCUAUAGUCACAGGUAAUGGUCGUCCAUUUAAGAACAAAGAUGUAAAAGAACUCUUUGAGAAAUUUCAUAUUCAACAUCGCUUUUCAACUCCUUAUUAUCCAUAGAGUAAUGGCCAAGAUGAGACAUCCAUUAAAAUAAUCAUCAAAAUACUAAAAAAGGUUGUCAAUCAUGUUGGCCGAGAUUGUCAUGUGCAGUUAAAUCUAGCUUUAUGGGCCUAUUACACUUUUAUCCGCACCCUUAAUGACACAACACCUUAUUCCUUGGUGUAUGGUGUGGAGGCUAUUUUACCUUUGGAGGUUGAGAUUCCAUCAUUAAGAAUGUAUUUGCAUCAUUUGAUUGAUGAUGAAACAUAGAGUGUCUAGGCUACAUCAGCUUGAAAUGUUAGAUGAAAGGCAUUAGACAACUUUGACUCAUCUUUAGGCAUAUCAAACUACCUCCGUCGCACCUACAACAAGAAGGUCAAAGGGAAUCAUUUUGAUGUUGGAGAUUUGGUCCUAAAGGCAAAUGCCAAGGAUUCAUAAUCUAUCUGAAAGAUUAUCAAAGGGAAAUUUUAGACCAAUUAGGUAGGGCCUUUUAUCGUCACUACAGCAUAUGGCUCGGGGGUAUAUUAGCUAGCAACCUCGAAGGGAGAACGAUUAUCAAAUCUUGUCAACAAUAUGCAUCUCCAGAAGUAUUAUACAUAAGUCUUUUUUUUACAGUUCUUCAAUAUGAUCCUGAAAAUAUAUUAAAAAUUUGAAAAAUACAAAAAAAUUUGAAAAAAAAAAUAAAAAUAUAAAAAAAAAUUGAUGACAAAAAAGUAAAGAAAAAUCAUUCACCCUCUAGUGAAAACCUGACAAACAGGCACUUUGGGCAAGUAACGUGGUGAAAAGUUGACAAACAAGUGCCAUGUGUAUCAAUGGUUGUUGCUCUACUAUCUAUCUUGAUUCUAUUUUUACAUAGCACAAAGCUUUAUCAUGCCUAUCCAUUCUGAUUUGACCCUUUGUCUUUAUCGAGGUCUAUGGUUGGUUAGCAUCGAAUGUCAUUUUCCAGCUAGUUGCCAAUCUAUAUAUAUGUUUUUUUCCUAGUCGUUGUACAUACUUGGACCUAUAAUUGAGGGAAAAUCCCUUCUCAUGAUCA